GAAGGGACAACUCUUCUCCCAACCCCCCCAACUGAUCUAAGGCCUUGAGAUCCUUUAGUAAAAGAUACUUUCAACGUUUUUUAUUGAUAACAUCUGACUAAUAACCUUCACUAUAGGCAUCUGGAAGGCUUAGGUAGCCCUGGCUCUAGGUUUUCCUACUCUGGGGGCUAAGGGCGGGCUGCCCCAAGAUGGGCCACUCUGGCAUGAAGGUUAUUUUGAGCUGAAGGCAACGGAGACCCUGUGGGCUCAACAGAAUUUUUUGCCCCUCCCUUAAUUACAUAGGAGAAUCUAAAUUGGGAGUCUUUCCAAGAACACUGGUCAUUACCAGAGAUAAAUUUUAUCUGAGGGACCCAUCCAGUGGCAGGACAAACAGCUAAUUAGCAAACAUUUGCUUUUUCUUAUUGCCCUGUGAAUUACAUUCCUUCCUUCAAAGUCCCAGACCCUUACCUUUUUCUUAAUUCGGGAUGACAUAUAUACCUCAUUUUGUCUGACUGUCUCUGGAAUUUCCCUCUGUGGAUGCCCCAUGUGUAAGCUGUUAAAUUUGAUUUUUUUCCUGCUAAUCUAUCUCAUGUUAAUUUGAUCCUGAUCCAGGUAGAAGGACCUUGAAGAGAAGAGGAAUUCUUGCUCCCUGUAGGUUAUAAGAAUGGUCAAAAGGAAGGAAUAACACAGUAUUUGCUAUUGGUAUGGACACCUCAUGAUAAAACCCAAGCAGAGACUGGAAUUUAAUUCAGAAAAACGUGCACCUGACAGGAAGGAAUCGGCAGACAUCACACACACCCUGCGCACACUCACCCGGCCAAGCCCAUCCCAGAGUCGGAGAACCCCAGCUGAAGGUCCUGAAUGACAGCUUGGCAAUUUUUAUCAAACUGUGAAAUUUAUGUUUGAUUCAAGAGCAACAUUUGUAGAAAUUUCCCAAAGACGAUAAAUGCAGGAAAGAAAGAGAACAAAGGGUACCUACAAGGUUAUUGAUCACAGCUUUGCCAGACAACCAGCUGCUCCUUCCCAGGAAAUACCAGGCCAGCCAUAAAGGUGAAAGUGGACUUCAGCUGCCUCCAUUCUGACUUCAAACUUUCCAGUGGGUUCUUCUUUCCAGCUGGUCCCUUGGCUUAGGCGGAAGACCCUGAGGACAAAGCAUUCUCUGGUGGGAACCGAAACUCCCCCCUGGAGCAUAAGGACUGCCUGGGCCAGCGAGACCCCUGCGUGAUUGACUCCAAAACAGUGAUCCAUUUGACCUUUAGGUCCUGCAGGGACCCACCCUCCUUUGCCCCACAUUUUCCUUCUAUAAACCCAGAAGUAUUCCAGCAUUUCGUGGAGUCUUUGAGACACUAGCCCGCUGUCUUCCCAGCGUUGGCCUCACUGAAGUAAAUUCUUCUUUCGUCGCCACUCAUCUCUCUACCUUUGGAUUUUGUCAGCGGCCAGUGGCUGAACCUGUUGUGUUUGGGACCCCUGGAACCAGGUGCUCAUGCACUCCCUGUGACCCAGCUACGUUAUGGGUAAGAGGCUUCUCUGAGGAGAAGAGCAUUGGUGCAGAAGUUCACAAGAUUCCCCAGUGACUGUGGACAGCCAAGGACCGGGGCUGACAGCGGACGCCUUGCGGAAAGAGCAUGCAGCUAUAAUGUGUUGCUACCAGACUUUUUCCUUCCUUCUGUGGCGGAACAUUAUAACCUCUGCAGCUGAGGGUUCCCUUCGCAAGUGAAAGGGGCCUUGAGGAAUGAGCGAGGGGCAGCGUUUGUCCCAAGAGAGCGGCGGCGGCAAAUCAUGUUGGGACAACUGAAAGAAACCACGACGCUGACAACUUUGGAAGUGUUCCGGACUCCACAGGAGCAGUCAUGAGGAUCUGCUCGACCAGACGUGCUAGGGCCAAGGAAAGGGAAAAUAAACUCAAUUCCGCACAGCUAAGGUAUUUAACCGGGAGAUGGGCAUAGACACUGGGUAAUCAAGGGGAGGGGCCGGCUUGGGGGAGUGAAGAGAGAGCUAAGGUGUGGGCCCUGAGGAGGGAGCCAUGGUGAAGGGGGUGUAACUAAAACUACAGGGAAGACAAGGUCACCAGUUAUUACCUGGGGCUUCAAAGACCCAUCAAAGCUGAAAUUGUUAGAGGACUUAGUGGGACAGGUAGGUCGUCAGAGCCGGGGUCCCCAACAAGAAAAUAAGGAGUGAGGACAGCUAAAAUAAAACUGCACUGACGUCCUGUUCUGCACUUAGGACCCCACCAGCACUCUGUUCUGCAGCCUUGGCAGAAAAGAUUUCUGCAAAACAUCCUUAAAUAAGACAAUUAACCACAAGGCUUGUGUCCCCACUAAUGUGGGAAACGAAGGCAGAAGGAAACACAGAUAAAAUUAAAUGUCCUUAUCACCUGCAGCCCAUUGACAAAUACUUGAGGCAGGCAGAGUAUCGUGUUCCUGCAGGAAGCUCCAGUCUUCAUGUUAAUGCUCUGCCAGAGGGAAAAGCAACCUUAGUUUGACAAUAGCCAGGUCUCCAGUAUCCUGUGAGUCUUCUCUAGCAUAUGAAAAUCCUUUUGGAACUUUCCUUAUCUUUACUUCCCCCAACCCCAAAGAACAGAAUCAAUUGCUACUCAUUAUCAUACGGUUUCACUUAUAUGUGGAACAUAAGGAAUAGCAUGGAGGACGUUAGGAGAAGGAAGGGAAAAAUGA